rnacentral:lncRNA from 1 species
UCCUUAAUCUUGUUUUGUUAUAUUUUGAUCCAUUUUAAGUUUAAUUACCUUGUUAAAUUUGUUUUUCGACCAUUAAGGAAGUUUUUGUAGUGGGCACUCAAGUGAAACGUGGACAUUUACAAAGCCUAAAGGCUCAUGACAGUUUCUAAUCUAGUUAGUAUGAGUCCAUUAAAUAAAAUAAAGGGUAAAACACUCAAAUCAAUAUAAAUUUUGACUAAUAUUCAAUAUGAGUCCAUUAGUAUUAGAAAUAGACAUUCCACCCCAUAACUCUUAAUGUUGUUAACAAACUUUAGAAAAAGACUAAAAUGCCCAUCAAAUAAAAACACCUAAGUCAGAACCACAACAGGUUUAUGGUUUUAGUUUCUUUUUCUUCCCCUUUUUCUUCUUUCUUUGAAACCGUUUCUUCUCCUCAAACUCUUUCUCUUUAAAUCCGUUUCUUUUCUUUAAAAGUGUAUCUUUUGUCUUCUCUUUCAUGGCAUUUCCUUUCCUUUGCUUUCCAUUCCCUUCCUUCCAUUCUCCUUGGUUGAAGUUCUAAUAGCUUAGUUGAGUUCUCUUUAGACAAUUUUUCUUCUUUUUGCUCAAAAAAUUAAAUUGAAAAAUUAUACAUAAUAAGAAGUCUAGAACACUCCAAUAAGGUUAGUCUUGGACUAUCCUUCCAGAAACCUUUUACCAUUUCAUCUUCACUCCAUAGAAAAUGCUUUAUCUUUUAUCCCACAUAACUAUUGAAAUUUGUUGAAGAUAGUGAUGGUGUUUACUGCUGGUAACUUUUAUGAGCUUGAGCUACUAAGGACACGGAGUUGUGAAGUAGUGGUUUUUGUUUGGUUGUAUAGGAAAUGGAAAUUUUGUUGUGGCUGGAUGACUCUAUGUAAGGCCGACUUUAAGGUAAGUAAAGGUUUUAAGUAUCAAAUUUUCAUAAAUCUCUUAAUAUAUAAAAAUUAAGAUAAUUAAUAAAAAUCUACUUAUUUUCUCAUAUCUAAUAAAUAUAUAUUUUCUCUCUUUUUCACAUCUCAAUUAAUUAUCAACUAUUUAUCUCAUUUUUUAUUAAAAAUAUGUAAAAAUCAAAAUAAUUAAUAAAAUGACAU